rnacentral:rRNA from 1 species
AUGAUAUGCCAUUUGGGCUGUUUGUUGGAGUUAAACAACCAUUUCCAGAGCAUUAUCUUUGGCGGUGUGCUUGUCAGGGAUGAGACAAAGGAAACUUUCGAGGCGGUUUUCAGCGAAUUCAUCUGCAUGACGGGUGGCAAACAUCCUCGGACCAUUCUUACAGAUCAAUGUAGAGCUAUGGAGCUUGCAAUAGAGAAAGUAAUGCCGGACAUCACACACCGGUGGUGCAAGUGGCACAUCCUGAAGAAGGCUAAGGAAAAACUUGUGCAUACUACUCAAAACGAAGCGAUUUCAGAGCAGAAUUUCAUAAAGUUGUGA